UUGCGCGGCUUACACAUGCAGUCGAGCGCACUCUUCGGAGUGAGCGGCGGACGGGUUAGUAACGCGUGGGAACGUGCCCUUCUCUAAGGAAUAGCCACUGGAAACGGUGAGUAAUACCUUAUACGCCCUUCGGGGGAAAGAUUUAUCGGAGAAGGAUCGGCCCGCGUUAGAUUAGAUAGUUGGUGGGGUAAUGGCCUACCAAGUCUACGAUCUAUAGCUGGUUUUAGAGGAUGAUCAGCAACACUGGGACUGAGACACGGCCCAGACUCCUACGGGAGGCAGCAGUGGGGAAUCUUGGACAAUGGGCGCAAGCCUGAUCCAGCCAUGCCGCGUGAGUGAUGAAGGCCUUAGGGUCGUAAAGCUCUUUCGCCAGAGAUGAUAAUGACAGUAUCUGGUAAAGAAACCCCGGCUAACUCCGUGCCAGCAGCCGCGGUAAUACGGAGGGGGUUAGCGUUGUUCGGAAUUACUGGGCGUAAAGCGCACGUAGGCGGAUCAGAAAGUAUAGGGUGAAAUCCCAGGGCUCAACCCUGGAACUGCCUUGUAAACUCCUGGUCUUGAGUUCGAGAGAGGUGAGUGGAAUUCCGAGUGUAGAGGUGAAAUUCGUAGAUAUUCGGAGGAACACCAGUGGCGAAGGCGGCUCACUGGCUCGAUACUGACGCUGAGGUGCGAAAGUGUGGGGAGCAAACAGGAUUAGAUACCCUGGUAGUCCA
rnacentral:rRNA from 1 species